GCGCUUACUAGAAUACUCCCUNUUGGCGAUAUAGNACCUCGGCUUUAGCCAACUGCUUAAUUACCCCUUCCUGUCUGAGGAAGUAUCUUCGAAUGAAUGCUCCUACGAAUUGUUGGCGGGCCCCCCCACCAGAGGAGCAUGUGGUUUAAUUCUAUGAUACACCACGAACCUUCUCCCGGCUUGUUGUGCUUCCGACCAGCACAGAGACAUGUCUUCUCCCCUUCGCAGAUGUGUAGACGCUGCGUGCUUGUCUUCCGCCCGCGCCUGGAGGGGUCUGCUUAGUUGACUUACCCAGCGCGACCCUCACUGAUAUUUACCAUCCAGUUAAUCUGGUGACUCUUCCAAAACUGCCGUCAUAAAAUACCUGGAAGGUGGCGAUGACGACGAAUCAUCACCGUCCUCCUUUCCAGUUCGACUCCCCUCUUGCUAUGAUGGGGACUACGGGCAGCUACAUGCCUACGUGAUGCAGAUCUCUUCAAACACGCUCUCCCCGGACCGAAUGCUGCCUGCUCCCUUCGUGCAUCAGGAUUCACUCGUUAUCGCUCACUCAACCACAGUGCGGCGAAUACUAUCCCCGCGCUUCGUGUACACCCCCCGCCGUCACAUCAAGAGCAGGCGGAUAUCUGACGACCUCAACCACCCAGCCGCGAGCGAGGGGUACACCUAAAGGACUGA
rnacentral:rRNA from 1 species